rnacentral:rRNA from 1 species
GUCUAUGGCUAUGCUACCUUGAACAAGACAGAUCCUAUCUGAUCUCAGAAGCUAAGGAGGGUCGGGCCUGGUUAGUACUUGGAUGAGAGACCACCUAGGAAGACCAGGUGCUGGAGGCA